AAAGAACUGUUUUAUUUCCUUCCCAGUUCUCGCUAUCUUCUUCGUCCUGGCCCUAUUGAUACAGUGUGGGGUUGGCGUUGGGAAGUUGGUUUUUAACUGUGUUUACAGCCUAUUUUGUUCAGUGUACCAGAAGAACUUCAGAAAUGAACGGACUGAACGCCAUCCUUCAGAGCCUUGCUGAAAAGAACUUUAUAUGAUGCUUCCAGCUGGUCAAUUAAUCACUGAUUAGCUUUCUUUGGGGAAAUGACAAAUUAUUUAAAUACACUGCUGUCCUGAAUUUUUUAAUUAAUUUUGAUUGGUUUACGCAAUCAGUCCAAAGA
rnacentral:sRNA from 1 species